GUUCCCUGUGAUGUUUUUAGUUUUUAUCCAUGCUAAUUCUGAUCAUUCUGUGACUGAAUCUUUUCUCAUCUAAUUUCUGAGGGAGCG